AAACAUUUGAAAUUUGUGUCAAUAAGUCAUAAAUAGAUUGCAGUAGCAGUUUUCUGUCGGGGAUUUGUCGUGUCGUGCCGCGCC